UUGAACGCUGGCGGCAUGCUUUACACAUGCAAGUCGAACGGUAACAGGUUAAGCUGACGAGUGGCGAACGGGUGAGUAAUGCAUCGGAACGUGCCCGAUCGUGGGGGAUAACGCAGCGAAAGCUGCGCUAAUACCGCAUACGAUCUGAGGAUGAAAGCGGGGGACCGUAAGGCCUCGCGCGAUCGGAGCGGCCGAUGUCAGAUUAGGUAGUUGGUGGGGUAAAGGCCUACCAAGGCGACGAUCUGUAGCGGGUCUGAGAGGAUGAUCCGCCACACUGGGACUGAGACACGGCCCAGACUCCUACGGGAGGCAGCAGUGGGGAAGUUUGGACAAUGGGCGAAAGCCUGAUCCAGCCAUGCCGCGUGCGGGAAGAAGGCCUUCGGGUUGUAAACCGCUUUCAGCCGGAAAGAAAUCGCCACUUCUAAUACGAGUGGUGGAUGACGGUACCGGAAGAAGAAGCACCGGCUAACUACGU
rnacentral:rRNA from 1 species